rnacentral:tRNA from 1 species
AACAAAAUGACUGAGAANUAGUGGUAGACUGUAAAUCUAUUAAUGAGUAAAAUCUUUUGUUA